AAAUAAAAGUGUCCAGGGAUGGGAAUCGAACCCACAGUGUUCCACAUACCGGGCAGAUGCCAUGUCCACUAGGUUACUUUAUU